rnacentral:lncRNA from 1 species
AAAGUGGCAGAAUGUGGGAAUGUUGAAGAAGACUAGAUAGCAGGAGAGACAACCACCGCCUGAAAUGAGAAGGAAGGAAGCGUGAAGAAAAGACUGUUACACGGGGAAAAGUAAGCUGAUGGGCUGUGUGGCAUUUUCUU